rnacentral:rRNA from 1 species
UACGUAGGGUGCAAGCGUUGUCCGGAAUUAUUGGGCGUAAAGAGCUCGUAGGCGGUCUGUCACGUCGGCUGUGAAAACCCGAGGCUCAACCUCGGGCCUGCAGUCGAUACGGGCAAACUAGAGUACUGCAGGGGAGACUGGAAUUCCUGGUGUAGCGGUGAAAUGCGCAGAUAUCAGGAGGAACACCGGUGGCGAAGGCGGGUCUCUGGGCAACAACUGACGCUGAGGAGCGAAAGCGUGGGGAGCGAACAGG